rnacentral:rRNA from 1 species
GACGAACGCUGGCGGCGUGCUUAACACAUGCAAGUCGAACGAUGAACCCGGAGCUUGCUCCGGCGGAUUAGUGGCGAACGGGUGAGUAACACGUGAGUAACCUGCCCUUGACUCUGGGAUAACUGCGGGAAACUGUAGCUAAUACCGGAUACGACCCUCGGCGGCAUCGCCAGGGGGUGGAAAGAAUUUCGGUCAAGGAUGGACUCGCGGCCUAUCAGCUAGUUGGUGAGGUAACGGCGCACCAAGGCGACGACGGGUAGCCGGCCUGAGAGGGUGACCGGCCACACUGGGACUGAGACACGGCCCAGACUCCUACGGGAGGCAGCAGUGGGGAAUAUUGCACAAUGGGCGAAAGCCUGAUGCAGCAACGCCGCGUGAGGGAUGACGGCCUUCGGGUUGUAAACCUCUUUUAGUAGGGAAGAAGCGAAAGUGACGGUACCUGCAGAAAAAGCACCGGCUAACUACGUGCCAGCAGCCGCAGUAA